AGUUUGAUCCUGGCUCAGGAUGAACGCUAGCUACAGGCUUAACACAUGCAAGUCGAGGGGCAGCAUUGGGGUAGCAAUACUUCAGAUGGCGACCGGCGCACGGGUGAGUUACACGUAUCCAACCUGCCGCUUACUCGGGGAUAGCCUUUCGAAAGAAAGAUUAAUACCCGAUGGUAUAAAGAGUUCGCAUGUUCUCUUUAUUAAAGAAUUUCGGUAAGCGAUGGGGAUGCGUUCCAUUAGAUUGUUGGCGGGGUAACGGCCCACCAAGUCUACGAUGGAUAGGGGUUCUGAGAGGAAGGUCCCCCACAUUGGAACUGAGACACGGUCCAAAUCCUACGGGAGGCAGCAGUGAGGAAUAUUGGUCAAUGGACGAGAGUCUGAACCAGCCAAGUAGCGUGAAGGAUGACCGCCCUAUGGGUUGUAAACUUCUUUUAUAAGGGAAUAAAGUGAGGGACGUGUCCCUUUUUGUAUGUACCUUAUGAAUAAGGAUCGGCUAACUCCGUGCCAGCAGCCGCGGUAAUACGGAGGAUCCAAGCGUUAUCCGGAUUUAUUGGGUUUAAAGGGAGCGUAGGUUGACAUAUAAGUCAGCUGUGAAAGUUUACGGCUCAACCGUGAAAUUGCAGUUGAUACUGUAUGUCUUGAGUGUACAAGAGGUGGGCGGAAUUCGUGGUGUAGCGGUGAAAUGCUUAGAUAUCACGAAGAACUCCAAUUGCGAAGGCAGCUCACUGGGGUACAACUGACACUGAGGCUCGAAAGUGUGGGUAUCAAACAGGAUUAGAUACCCUGGUAGUCCACACAGUAAACGAUGAAUACUCGCUGUUUGCGAUAUACAGUAAGCGGCCAAGCGAAAGCAUUAAGUAUUCCACCUGGGGAGUACGCCGGCAACGGUGAAACUCAAAGGAAUUGACGGGGGCCCGCACAAGCGGAGGAACAUGUGGUUUAAUUCGAUGAUACGCGAGGAACCUUACCCGGGCUUGAAUUGCAGAGGAACAUAGUUGAAAGAUUAUGGCCGCAAGGUCUCUGUGAAGGUGCUGCAUGGUUGUCGUCAGCUCGUGCCGUGAGGUGUCGGCUUAAGUGCCAUAACGAGCGCAACCCUUAUCAUUAGUUACUAACAGGUCAUGCUGAGGACUCUAGUGAGACUGCCGUCGUAAGAUGUGAGGAANGUGGA
rnacentral:rRNA from 1 species